CCGAGCAGCAGUCAGUGUUUCGGGGCCUCCCUCCCGGCUGGGCGGGGGGCAGCGGCGGGCGUCCUGGGGAUACCUUCCCGGCCCCAGCGCUGUUCCCGACCGGUGGGCGGGCGCUGCCCUCGGGUGCGUGGAUGCUCCCGCCCCGGUGGUGCCCGGCCAGAGUCACUGCUGCGGUUAGGGCCAUCGGAUCGCCACACCUGUCGAGGUUUCAGCGCGACAAGUGAGGUCGGGCAGUAGGCGUCCUUCUCACAGUGGCGGGCACGUCUGAUUCCUAGUUUUCCCAUUGUGACAACCGGGUCACUCUCUCUGAUCCCCACAAGACUUUCGCCGGUGUAAGUGGGAGGAUAGCUCUUCGGAGGACAGUAACCUCAGUUAAAGGAGGAAGGAUCUUUCCUUUCUGGAUCCUUGGUUUUGGCUAAAUCAACCGUAGAGCUCACAUUUAUUUCUAUGGUGCAGUUUACUGCUGUCUUCAGACCUCUUUAGUAACAGACGUCUUUGAGAACCCAGUGAAAGCUCUGUGUCCUGUGCCUAGACACUGGCAUAAGUGGCAGCGACAAGCACGCAGUGACAGGGUUUGGACACACUCCGAGCCCAUCCACAGACCUCAGGGGUGUGAACCCUGAGUUAAGAGCUGGUUGGUGGGAGGCGCAGGCUUUGGGUCAGAUUUUGCACGUGGCUCUUGCCCUUUAUCACUGUUAACUUGGGCGAAAGUCACCUGAGCAAUUCAGGUCUCAGCUUUUUUAUUAAAGUGGGACUAAACUAAUUUGCAGGGCUGUGCAGGUGCAACGAAAGAAGCUAGGUAAGGCACUUAGCACAUCCUGGGCCCUCAACCAGGGACAGCGACAGAUGUCCACUGUUGGCCGAGGGGCGGUCAUUUAAAAUCUGAAAGGAAGUUCCAAAGUCCAUGAUUAGAACAGGACCACCAUAUACAUUUUGCCCAGGCAUUUCAUAAAGUGAGUUGGUUGGAUUUUAACUCAACCCAACCCUUGACCUUCACACGUUUUUUAGGUUCCUGGUGUGUCUUUUUCUAGGAACUUGCGUCUCGUAGGCCUUGCCUGGGUGGCUGCUCUGAAAACGAGGGAAGGCUGGCCCCAUAUCAGCCGCCACACAGCAUGGCAUUUCCAGAGGGGCCUUCUUUCGAAACGUGGUAAAGGACGGAAACCACAUGGACUUUGGCCUGGGAGGCUGACCUGGCCUGAGUCCCAGGGCAGGGGCGAUGAGCGCCGGGCCCGGAACUGACUCCACGGGGGUCAGGUGGCAGAAGGUCCUGUAUGAGCGACAGCCCUUUCCCGACAACUACGUGGACCAGCGCUUCCUGGAGGAGCUGCGGAAGAACACCCACGCGCGGAAGUACCAGUACUGGGCCGUGGUGUUUGAGUCCAGCGUGGUGGUGCAGCAGCUGUGCAGUGUCUGUGUUUUUGGGGUCAUCUGGUGGUACAUGGACGAGGGUCUUCUGGCCCCCCACUGGCUUUUUGGGACGGGCCUGGCUCUGUCACUGAUGGGCUAUGUCCUGUUCGACCUCGUGGACGGAGGGGAAGGCCGCAGGAAGAGCGGGCGGACCCGCUGGGCCGACCUGAAGAGCGCCCUGGUCUUCAUUACGUUCACCUACGGGUUUUCGCCCGUGCUCAAGACGCUCACCGAGUCCGUCAGCACUGACACCAUCUACGCCAUGUCCGUCUUCAUGCUCCUGGGCCACCUCAUCUUCUUCGACUACGGGGCCAACGCUGCCAUUGUGUCCAGCACCCUGUCCUUGAACAUGGCCAUCUUUGCCUCUGUGUGCCUGGCCUCGCGCCUGCCCCGCUCCCUGCACGCCUUCAUCAUGGUGACGUUCGCCAUCCAGAUUUUCGCCCUGUGGCCCAUGCUGCAGAAGAAGCUGAAGGCGUGCACGCCGCGCAGCUACGUCGGGGUCACGCUGCUCUUCGCGGGCUCAGCCUUGGGCGGCCUGCUCUCCGUCAGCGCCGUGGGGGCCACCCUCUUCGCGCUGCUGCUGGUGUCCGUCUCCUGCCUGUGCCCUUUCUACCUCAUUCGCCUGCAGCUUUUUAAAGAAAACAUCCACGGGCCCUGGGAUGAGGCUGAGAUCAAGGAAGACCUGUCCCGGUUCCUCAGCUGAGUCAGGGACCGCCCUUCAGUGACUCAGGCCAGCGACAGACCAGCCCGGGCGCCGGGACUCGGCUGGAAGCGGUUCCCUCCUGGAAGCAGCAGGCCCGCGUGGGCGGGGGAGCGCGAUCGAGAGCAGCUGCGAACCGAGGGCUGCGGCGGCGGCGGCGGCGCUUACCCCGUCUGCGUGGUGGCUGGGACAGCGCUCGGGGGCCCUCAGGGAUGACGGCCCGCACGUAGUGCUCACUGACCCGCCUAGGACCCUGGAUGCCAUGUCCGGUUUUGUUGCCUAAAACUACAGAAUUAGCCGCUUAACCUUGACUCAGAGCCUCUGCCUCAUUCUUAGUGAAGCAUGUAUGUGUCCU